rnacentral:rRNA from 1 species
GAUGAACGCUGGCGGCGUGCCUAAUACAUGCAAGUCGAGCGAACAGACGAGGAGCUUGCUCCUUUGACGUUAGCGGCGGACGGGUGAGUAACACGUAGGUAACCUACCUAUAAGACUGGGAUAACUUCGGGAAACCGGAGCUAAUACCGGAUAAUAUUUCGAACCGCAUGGUUCGAUAGUGAAAGAUGGCUUUGCUAUCACUUAUAGAUGGACCUGCGCCGUAUUAGCUAGUUGGUAAGGUAACGGCUUACCAAGGCAACGAUACGUAGCCGACCUGAGAGGGUGAUCGGCCACACUGGAACUGAGACACGGUCCAGACUCCUACGGGAGGCAGCAGUAGGGAAUCUUCCGCAAUGGGCGAAAGCCUGACGGAGCAAUGCCGCGUGAGUGAUGAAGGUCUUCGGAUCGUAAAACUCUGUUAUUAGGGAAGAACAAACGUGUAAGUAACUGUGCACGUCUUGACGGUACCUAAUCAGAAAGCCACGGCUAACUACGUG